UACCACCAUAUUGAAAAAUAUAUUAGUCUGCGAACGAAGUCAAUUAUGAUUUGAUGAUGAACAAGUGUUCUAGUGUUAUUGAGUUUAAAAAUUAAUAUACAUGUGUAAAAAUGGCUGGAAAUUUCGGAAUGCAGCAACUGAUUCCUAUUGUUAACAAAUUACAAGAUGCAUUCGUUCAGAUGGGCGUUCACAUGUCCUUAGAUCUUCCACAAAUUGCAGUUGUGGGUGGUCAGUCCGCUGGAAAGAGUUCUGUAUUAGAAAAUUUUGUUGGCAGGGACUUUUUACCUCGGGGUUCUGGAAUAGUGACACGUCGGCCCUUGAUUUUGCAACUCAUAAAUGGAAAUACAGAAUAUGCGGAGUUCCUGCAUUGCAAGGGGAAGAAGUUUGUUGAUUUCAAUGAGGUGCGCAGCGAGAUCGAAGCUGAGACUGACCGUAUCACCGGCUCCAAUAAGGGCAUAUCGCCUGUGCCCAUCAACUUGCGUGUCUAUUCGCCCAAUGUACUCAACUUGACGCUGAUCGAUUUACCGGGCCUGACAAAGGUUCCGAUUGGUGACCAGCCGGCCGACAUCGAGCAACAAAUCAAAGCGAUGAUCUUCCAGUUCAUCCGGCGCGAAUCGUGCCUCAUUUUAGCUGUUACGCCAGCUAACACUGACUUGGCUAACAGUGAUGCCCUGAAACUUGCCAAAGAAGUUGAUCCUCAAGGUCUACGAACAAUCGGCGUAAUUACCAAAUUAGAUUUGAUGGACGAAGGCACAGAUGCACGUGACGUACUUGAAAACAAGCUACUGCCUCUUCGACGCGGAUACAUUGGCGUCGUCAACCGUUCCCAGAAGGACAUCGAUGGACGAAAAGACAUCCAAGCUGCUCUUGGUGCUGAGAGGAAAUUUUUCCUCAGUCACCCAUCGUACCGACACAUCGCCGACCGGCUCGGCACUCCGUACCUGCAGCGUGUGUUGAACCAGCAACUCACGAAUCACAUCCGUGACACGCUGCCCGGUCUCCGAGAUAAACUCCAGAAGCAGCUGUUAACUCUUGAGAAAGAUGUGGACCAGUACAAACACUUCCGACCUGAUGAUCCCUCCAUCAAGACCAAGGCUAUGUUACAAAUGAUUCAACAACUGCAAACAGACUUCGAACGCACUAUUGAGGGAUCUGGCUCCGCUCAGAUUAACACAAAUGAACUGUCUGGUGGUGCGAAGAUCAAUCGGCUCUUCCACGAGAGAUUCCCAUUCGAAAUCGUCAAAAUGGAGUUCGAUGAGAAGGAAUUGCGCAGGGAGAUUGCGUUUGCUAUCCGAAAUAUUCACGGUAUCAGGGUUGGUUUGUUUACCCCAGACAUGGCUUUCGAGGCUAUAGUAAAGAAGCAGAUCGGUCGACUGAAGGAGCCGUGUCUCAAAUGCGUUGAUUUGGUCGUUCAGGAGCUGUCCAAUGUCGUCCGAUUCUGUACUGAAAGGAUGUCCCGUUAUCCGCGUUUGCGCGAAGAGACGGAACGUAUAAUAAUGUCGCACGUGCGUUCCCGUGAACAGACAUGCAAAGAUCAAUUGGUGCUACUUAUUGACUGCGAACUCGCUUAUAUGAACACUAACCACGAGGAUUUCAUCGGGUUCGCUAAUGCGAGUAAAUGUAAAUCUUUGUUUGAAUCAAGUGCCCAGAAUCAGUCGGAGAAUUCUGCUAAAUCGGGACACCGCGCUCUCGGCAAUCAAGUUAUCAGGAAAGGUUAUAUGUGCAUACACAAUUUGGGCAUCAUGAAAGGUGGAUCCCGCGACUACUGGUUCGUGCUGACAUCCGAGAGUAUUUCCUGGUUUAAGGACGAGGAAGAGCGUGAGAAGAAGUACAUGUUACCAUUGGACGGACUCAAGCUGCGUGACCUCGAACAGGGAUUUAUGUCGCGAAGACACAUGUUCGCUCUCUUCAAUCCAGAAGGCAGGAAUGUCUACAAGGAUUAUAAGCAGCUAGAGCUGUCUUGCGAGACACAAGAUGACGUGGACUCAUGGAAAGCGUCAUUCCUUCGCGCAGGUGUAUAUCCAGAGAAGACCUCAGAGGCGGCUAAUGGUGACGAGUUAAUUCCGCCUUUCCUGGUGUUGCGUGAGAAUAAGAGAAGUUCCGAUAGCGCCGGCACAAGCAGCAUGGAUCCGCAGCUCGAGCGGCAAGUGGAGACGAUCAGGAAUCUGGUCGACUCCUACAUGCGUAUAGUCACGAAGACAACGAGGGACCUCGUGCCCAAAACUAUAAUGAUGCUGAUCAUUAAUAACGCCAAAGAUUUUAUCAACGGAGAGUUGCUAGCUCAUCUGUAUGCUUCCGGAGACCAGUCGCAAAUGAUGGAAGAGUCCCCCGAGGAAGCCCAGAAACGCGAGGAGAUGCUGCGCAUGUACCACGCGUGCAAGGAGGCGCUGCACAUUAUUGGAGACGUGUCGAUGGCGACUGUGAGCACGCCGGUGCCGCCGCCUGUCAAGAACGACUGGCUCGAGAGUCGUCUCGACUCCAACCCCCGUCUAUCGCCGCCUUCACCCGGCGGUCCGCGACGCGCCACACCCGCACAGCAAGGUUCGCUGGGCCAGCGCGGUGCUCCGCCGCCGCCGGGUCCGGGCACAGGGCGGCCGGCCCCCCCGCUGCCGUCGCGGCCCGGCGGCGCCGCGCCGCCGCCACCGGGCGCGCGCCCCGCGCCCGGCGCCGGUCUUCCCGCGCCCCUCAUACCCACGCGGCCGGGCGGCGGGAGUGCGGUGGGCGCUGCCAUGGGCGCUAUGAACCAGAUGCCGCCGCACAUGCGCCAGCAAGUGAACCAGGCAGUCGGGCAGGCAGUCACCAACGCGGCCAUCAACGAACUCAGCUCCGCCUUCGCAAGAUUCAAGUAAAUCACAGACUGACUGUUGUGCAACGCACUGUUCUAAUUUGUGAUUCGACUAACACUAAGGGCCGGCGCAGACGAGGGAUGUUCCUCGGGCUACUUUUAGUCCAUACUUCUUUACCUUUUGUUUCUCGUAUUUUACGCAGUUUUAUACAAUGUAUCAUAUUAUUAUAUCUUACAAUAAUAAUAUGACUAUGGGGGCUUCGUUAUAACGAAGGUGGUCGAGAAACUCUUGACAUCUGAGGACGCCACCCUCACAGAGUACUCCAUCCUACUUGUACUGAGUAGACGAUUUUUAUACUGUACAAGAUGUUAUAGAAGAUUGUAUUAAUAUUGAAAUUGCAUCGCUGGCUACUAAACCUUGAUUUGGAUAUGAUCCUAUGUAUUCGGUAGAUCAUAUACCUCUAAGUGCUAUAUUUCGCAUAAACAAAUAAUUGUCCCUUGUUUGCGCAGGCCUUAAUACUAUGCCAAAUUGAUCGUAACGGUCUAAAUUUACAAAAUACAUAUCUUCGUUGUUACUGCAAUAUGUUGUAUGUCGUACGAAAAUGAGCGAAGUGUUAUGUUAGAUGUUUUCUUGAAAAGUAAAGAUUGAUCAGUAAAUGACAUAAUAGUAGAUGCCAUUAUAUAUUGUUGUAACUUAAGUAAAAAUCAAACAGAUUAAUUAUUCUACUAUAAAGAUACAAAUGUUUAACAUCAUCCUAAAAAGUAUGUGGGAAGGUUAUUUUGGUAUGUGACGAAAUUAUUUUGAGAUGUGACAAGACUGUUUUGAUAUGUGACAAAGUUUUUAUGAGACGUGACAAGGCUAUUUUGACAUGUGACAGAUUGAAGUAUCAACGAUGAAAUGGUCGAGUAAGGUUCCAAUGGGAAACCAACUAAAUUAUAACUUAGUUGAUUAAUAUUGAGAAUUCAUCCCUUCCCUUAAAAAUAUUCAAACAAAUAUUGAAAUUUUUGUCUAAAUGCUUGUGUGGUUGAUAAAUUGUUACCUUGAAUGUGUGCGAUAUAUUAACACUAACGCUUUUUGUUUAGUUCCUCUCUAAUGUACAGAAUUUAUAUUUUACAAUCGAUUACUCUUAUAUCAUUGUGAAUACAUUAAGCACUAUAAAUUGUAACAUGUGUGAGCCUAUUGUAAAGGUUGGUGAACUCAGUAAUACAAAUUGGAUAUAAGGUUAUCUAAAAUCAUUAUGGAUUAAAUUUCUUAUACGGAAAACUAAAGAGGAGUAAAAAUAUACUAAUAUAUUUCAAUUUACAAUUAUUUUAUUUGAAAAUUAACUGGGUCGAUCGAUCUUUGUUGAUGUUGUGUUUAUGUCUUCAUAUAUUGUGCCUCUCUAAGAUGAGUGUCAUUGUGCACAAACAACUAAACGCUGCUUGUGAUAUUGUACCGUAUUGUUACCGUAAUCUUAAUAAUGGGACCGUACUGUUUUGUAAUAUAAAUUACAUAUAUGUUACAAUGGUUUACAUUGAAACAUGUAUUUUAAAAGGUUUUGAUUUGAAUUUUUUUUUGUUGCUCAACAUGUAGCAAUAAUACUUGCUCAAGUAAUAGACAAACCAUUGAAGUUUUGAAGAUCACACACGCAUCGCUAUGAGAUCAUUUCGCUAAAUAUGAGACAUGCGCGAUAAUCUAACACUCUAAGAGUGGUAAAGAGUUCAUUGUAUUUCUGACUAGGAAAAUAAUGUAUAAGUUCAGUAUUACUUGUGAAUGAAAUUAUUGUUUAUAGUAUUAUACUAUAUGUAAAAUGGAGACCCACAGACGCGGGUUAAAUUUAAUAAAUAUAACACUUAUUGAAAUAUGUAAUUAAAUUUACUUUGUGUAAUUAAUUGUAAAUGUUACAUUCAGUGACUUAAGAUAGGUGUAUAUUGAAUUAUGUAGAUGAGUUGGUACGCAGACGGCAUCGCGGCCCUGGACCGCAACGUCAGCCAUCCAAACGUGCAUAUCAUUGUUUUGUAAAUGUGCUAAAGUUGUACGUACAUAAUGUAAAGCGCGGUUCGUCCGUUUGUUGAUGUUUACGCACUCGACACCUUCGUUGCGUAGAGCUAGCUGCGUAGUGACAGUGGUUGCCACACGUUCUCACGUCAGUGUCUAGGUGUUCCAGUAGUUUAGGUCUGCGACGCGCUCCCCCUGAGUAUUUCUCCCCCGUCUUUAGUAGUGCUCAGUCGUAUAAUAUAUACAUAAUGUUAUAUGCAUUUACUCAAAACGAUUAUACCCCAAGCUUGUUUGUUAUUGUAUAUUUACAAUUGUAUCAGUAUAAUCUGGUAUUAGAUUAUAAUGGUGACGUAACACGUAACUUAUGAAUCCCUCAAGAGGUUAUUAAAAGUUUAUAUGUAAAAUUGUACUUAUAAUGGCUAAGACCAAAGCAGUUGUCCUCUUUAUUGUUGCUGUUAGCAAUAUCUUUGGUCAAUUAUUAGAAUGGUUUAAUGAUGGUGAUACAUUAUAAAUUCGUUAUAUGAAAAGAAGAUAUAAAAUAACGAAUAUUAUAAAAUUUUGAAAUCAUCGUUUCUCAUCGUCACCUCAUUAGUAUUGUUCAUGUUCACAGAUUAUUAUAUACACAUUUAGUGAGAUCGUGAAGUAUUAAAUUCAUAUAUUGUUCGAAAAUAUUUCAGAUCGGGGGUUAUAAUGUCAUAUUAGCCCAUGACCAGUCAGUAGCUCGCUUAGUUGAACCUUCAGGUUGCAACUGUCUCCGUGUAGGCAAAAGACAUACUCGUCGUACCGAGUUUACAUUUACAUUCCAGUAUAACGCUGUAGCUAUGUUAUUGCUCUAUCGAUAUUAGCAGAAUAUAAAAGUUAAACAAAAUCAUCUAACGUUUUGCUCUCUCCCUUGUUGAUAGCAUUAGUACCAUCGAAAAAGGUAUAGGCAGUGAUUGUUGGAUUUGAUAUAGUUUAUGAAUAUUGUUAAUCUUAUGCUGUAUAAAUAGAGUAAUUAAAUGCUAUAUGUGUAUUAAAGAUGUUUGAUUUAUUCCAGUAGUUAGCAUAUAAAAUACCAUUGGCUUCAUACUAACUAUUUAUUGGGAAUGUAUUUCCCUAAAGGAUUAUAUAUUAGUCGUCCGGUCCCGAACGUGCCUCCCAAGUUGCCCGAGCGACCGCAGAAUGGACGGCCAUUUUGAACACGCCUUCCUGUUGCCGCCUUCUUAUUAGAUGCAUUGUAUAUAAAUCUCUCCUUUUAAUUUGUAUAUGGCUAAAUUUAUUUAAUGCUUAGUAUGUACGAAAAUGUAAUAGGUAUUUUUUUAUUUGCGCCCUAUUCAGAAAUUUUACGCCUAAGGUGUAAAUUAAUAUUUAUUCGAAAAUGAAGAAAUGAAGAUAUUUCAUGGUAGCUAAAUAGUUAUCAAUUUGUAAUAUGGGUAACUUUUCAAUUACAACGCUAUUUCUUACCAUUUCUAUAGACACGUGUACUGAUGUAUUAUGUAUACUGGCGAGUUAUUGCAUUGACCACUUAUUUUAGGUAUAGUACUAGAUCCCACUGCUUGAUUAUGCUCAUCUAUUUUUUUUUUUUUAUCAAAGUGCAUUCUUUAUUUAUAAAUUAAUAGAGGGUCCGCGUAUCUCCUCUCAAUGUUCUAAACCUUAUUUUUACCCAAUUACCUAUUAAAAGUCCAGGUAAUUUGAUUAAUUUACUUUUGAAAUUUAAUGACGUUAAUGUUUAAAUGUUACACAUAAAAAUAUACUUUACAUGUGUAGUUUUUUUUUGAGACUAUAUUUUGAUAGACAACGGGGGAAAACGUAUUAUUUUAUAUAUUAUUUGUAGGAAAAAAAAACAGAUGAGUGUUGGUUAUCAUGCAGGGGGAGCUUAGGCUAUUAUAACUGUCUUGAAAAUGAAAAAUAAACUUAUCCAAAUGCUAAUUAUGUGUAAAAUCUUUGUCAAUGCUUAUUGUCUUAAUUACUAAACAUGUUUACUAAACAUAUGAAAAAUAUAAUUUCAUAUUACAAUGGUCACAAGCUAUAGACAAAAUAAGGGCAUUCUAUUGUCACCUAAUAAAGUAGGCAAACUGUACAAUAUUUUGUGUAUACGUAUUUUUGAUACCUAUUUCGUACAGUGUGUACAUAAAUAAAUACAUACUUGACCAUCUUAAUUGAAUAUUGUUAGAUACAGAAUUAUUCAUAUUUUUGUAUUCAUUCAACUACACUGUGAUAUAUCGUAUUUGGUAAGUGAUAACGAAUUAUGUAAACAUACGAUGUAAUUGAAUGUAAUUAUCAUAUUUGCACUAAAAAUACACAAGUCGCAGGGUAGUGAUGUGUAUAAAUAGAGAAGACGUCGUUAUAGGACACAGAUUGCAUUAUUUGUUGCCUUAUUUACACAUGUCUAAUUGGAUUUAACUCCAGAUUGGAUAAAAAUGGCACUUUACGCGAUUCGUAUAACCUGUCAAGUGGGAGCGUAAUAUGAACGACCUUGCACAGGUUUGCUAAUGUAACAAAUGAAUCGCAUUAUGAUUUGUAUAAAGUGGGAUUUUAAACACAGUAGUUUUAAGAUCAGUGACUUUGAAAUAAACGAGGACAUGGCGUUCAAACGCCACGUCGUUAUAAUUUCACAAUUUUGAAUGCCGCAAGAUAGGUUCAGUUUAAUGUAGGGAUGCGGCCUUAGUUUUUUUUCAAUAAAAAUAUUCUAUCUUUAUGUCUAAAUCUAGAAAAAAUAUAAUUGGAUUUAACAAUGGCCAUUGGUCCACUAAGGAUUUUUAUGUAACAUUUCUGUGUUAACAUAAAAUUUACAUCUUUUUAUCGCAUUUUCCAUUUGUAGCCCAUAAUAUAAUGCAUAAGAAUGUAUUUACCACCGCUAUCAUAUUAAUAUGUUAUAAUUUGACUUUAUAUUCAUAAGUAAUUAAUUCAGCAUCAUUCGUGUUAUAUGGUAUUUACAAUUGUUUUGCGUGAUCAGUAUCAGAAACUACACCUGUGCGUGCAAUCUCUUUUUAGCAAAAAAAAAAAAAAUGCCAAUAAAAAAAAUAUUAGAAACGUUUUAUACGUUCCAUGUCAUAAUAAAGAUAAUAUUUGAUAAUGAAUGAAAAGCGAAAACAUACCGUGCAAUAAGGUAACUUCAAAAGACUUAAAAUAUGAUGCUGAAAGGUUGAUGACGCAGGUCUUUGAAUGUUUCUUUCGUCCUUCGUCCUUCCUAAUAGUUUUUUUUAAUAAUAAAUAGGCUUACAGCUGAAGUCUCCGAGGUGGUGAUAGGUGCUCAAUAAUAUUUAAAACCCUGUCAGCACACCGACUUCGCGAUCGCGAACGGCAGUAGCGAAGCGAAAUGCUGGUAACUAGCUCUAUUUGCAGGACAAAUAAUGAUUUGCUUUGUCCCUUCAUUAUCACCGUUCGCAGUGCCUGUGUGCUAACGGCGAAAAUUGCUCGAACUUCGUUGAGCAUAUCUAAUUACAACAGAUUCAUAAGUUAUAAGUUUAUUUUUGAAAUUAUUUACGCUACAUUUUUAAACAUUGCGUUUAACAGGUGACGUAUUUAAGUGACUUACAAGGAGGUUCUCAUUUCGUUUCUAAUUUGUCUUGUGUUCUUCCGAACCGAAUAUGAACUGAAUUUGAUAUUUUUUUUGCUACUGAUAGGCUUAUUAACUCUAGCUAUUAUUUUGCAAAGCAAAAUCUUAUUGAUAAAUGUACAAAUAUUAUAAAGCACUAAAUGUAGUAUAAAUGUUAUAUAACUAUAACAAUAACCUCGGCAAUAUUGUAUUGUUAACGUGACAAUAGCUAAUUAAAAUGGAAUUAACAAUAUUGUUGUAUUGGAAUGUAUAAUUAUUAUAUAUACAAAAUAGGAAUAAUAAUCCGAAAUUCAACAUUAGUAACUGGAUAUGCACAAAACUAAAUAACUUUCCGUAGAGAUCGAUUUCUUGCGAACUGAUCCUAGAUGAAAGUUGUUUAGUUUUAUGAGUUGAACUUCGAAUUGUUACGUUUCCGUUUAUAUAUGUACUUGUAUUAUUGGUAAAAGUGAAUAUUGUAAAUCACUGUAGUUGUUAUUGUACUCGUAUCGUGCAUCACAAGGAGUAUUUGAAUGGUGUUUGUAGUUACUAUGUUCGACUGAUAUUGUGAUAGGGUAAUAGAAUGCUUGUGAUAGUGAGGUGCUUAUAUUGUGACAUGCACCUUCUAAGAGAUUGUAACUUUUAAUAAUCGUGUUAUUGUGGCAUUUAGUAUUAUGGUCUGGCGUGUGGAUUUCGUUCAGAUAAUUUGUUGAUAUUUUUACCACCAUGAAAUGCCUACUGAAUUCAGCAUGUCUACAAAAUAUAAUUUUGAAGCAAGUACUAAUAAAAAAUAUGUGUAAAAAAAAGAGAUUUGCUCUAAAGAUUCUUUCCGUCCAGAUUUAAUUCUCCUUCCUCGAUUUUAUUAUAUAUAUGAUAUUACUGAUCUGAGCAAUGAAAAUGUUAAAUGGAUUAUUGUAAUCGAACAUGGUUUAAUCCUUAUUUCAUGUAUUUUGCAUGUAUAUAUUUUUUUUGUCAAGUGUCGGUUUGCACUAUCAUUUUAAAAUGCCCACUAUAUUGUAACAGGCAAGCAAUACAACUAAUGGAAAAUGUUAGACAUGCAGAAUUCAGGGAAUGAACUCAGAAUGAUGCCAUUGGCGUGCUUCAUGUGUUGUUAUUCCUGAAAUUUAGUGUAUGUUAGUAGUAGGAUUAUUUCUUUUACAACGAAACAAUACAGCACCUAUUUUUAUGUCCGUUUGUUUAGGGCCCCCUCGUGGGUCUUUGGUGAGGUAUACAGGGAGGGUGUGGGUAUAAAUGAUUCAUGAAAAGAUUGCAAUAGGACCACGAGGGAUAGUAAAAUCUAUUUUAUCUACUGGUAGGAUAAAUUAUUAGGACCACGAGAAAAGACCUAGCUCGCGGAUACGGCUGUAUAGUGGCGCACGCGCUUUCCUGCCCGUCUAUGUAUAUCUCUACGCACCUGCGGAGUGACGUAUUUUAUGUUCUUUUUUAAUAUGAUAUUUUUGUUUUUCUUUUUUUUUUGGCAUAUUAACAUAAAAAUAUUCUAGUUAUUUUUUUGCUUAUGUACUGUUAUCUCGUGUAUAUGUAUAUAAAAUUAUAUUACUAAAAAUGUUUAGAGUAAAAGAACAAACUAUAAAAUUCUGCGUCAUUCCGCAGGAGUUUGCUGAUAAUUAUGUUGAAUAGACUUCGCGCGAAUGGAAAAUGCUUUAACAGACAUUGUUGCUUAAGUGAUGAUAGAGUUUUGUUGUGUUAUAACUAAAUAUUUUUUAUACAUUCCCGUAUCUCCAAUUCACACGCCAGCUAUAUGUGUAUAUACAUGUAAAAACUGUAAUAUGGACCUGUUUAUACUUUGUGUACUGUUGUAUGCAACAAUAAAUGUGUAUAUAAAAUAUA